UGACAGGUGGUGCAUGGUUGUCGUCAGCUCGUGUCGUGAGAUGUUGGGUUAAGUCCCGCAACGAGCGCAACCCUCGACCUUAGUUGCCAGCAUUCAGUUGGGCACUCUAAGGUGACUGCCGGCUAAAAGUCGGAGGAAGGUGGGGAUGACGUCAAAUCAUCAUGCCCCUUAUGACCUGGGCUACACACGUGCUACAAUGAGCGGUACAAAGGGUCGCGAACCCGCGAGGGGGAGCCAAUCCCAAAAAGCCGCUCUCAGUUCGGAUUGCAGGCUGCAACUCGCCUGCAUGAAGCCGGAAUCGCUAGUAAUCGCGGAUCAGCAUGCCGCGGUGAAUACGUUCCCGGGCCUU
rnacentral:rRNA from 1 species